UGAUUUUGUAUAGCCACUGUUCUAUACCAAACUCUGUAAAUCCCAAACAGAGAUGACCACGAAUCUUCAGAAAUGGAGAGUCGCACUGAACCUCCUCCGCCGCUACGACGGCGUUUCGGCUCACAACGCCCGGCGUCUAUUGCACGACGGACCUGACACCGUGGAGGAGCUGCUAGACAGACACGUGGUGAAGAAAGAGAAACACCUGGACGACGAAGAGGAGGAGCUGCUGAAUCGGCGGCGACUGACGACCACGCGCCGGGAGGCGCUGUGUCUUUAUCGAGACAUUCUCAGGGCGACGCGGUUCUUCAUGUGGACGGACUCUCGGGGCGUGCUUUGGCGAGAUGUGCUGAGAGAGAACGCGAGGAAGGAGUUCGAGGAGGCCCGGUUCGAAACGGAUCCGGAAGUUGUGACCCGAUUACUGAUCGGAGGGCACGAUGCUGUGCAGUCGGCGUUAGAUAAGCUCGCCGAGAAGCAGCGGCAGCAGAUUCAGAAGGAGCGAGGCCGCGGUGGAGAUCAACCGUAGACGAUCAGAGGCAGAGUAUGAGAGAUAUUAGUAAAGCAGAGGGGGGAAAGAUGACGUGUCUGGAAAGGAAUGUUCAAAAGAAGAGGAAGUAUGAAUCACCUAACAGACAAUCAGUUCAUUCUGCUGCCAAGGAGUUUCUAGAGAAAGCUGCUCGUGAGCUUCUUGGUGAUGACAACGGUGGUCUUAAGGGACCUCUAAGGGCUGAAUUCUCAGACAAAGAUAAUCUGAAUUGGGACUGAUUUCCUCAUUUUUUGCUGAUGCAGGGCGAGUGUUCCAUUGUAGAUGAUCCUUUCUCCAUUCCACAGCUUCUUCUUAGCAUAAGUUUGGAAAGCAUCAAAGCAACUUUGUUGCCAAUGUUCUUCUUCUAUGUUCUCCCUGGUGCAGCAGAGGUUGGACAACUUCCAAUGCACCCCCAUUUCAUUAUUUGCUUUAAGCAUAGAUUUAGAAAGUAUCAAAGCAACUUUAUUCCAAUGGCUUUAUCAACUUUGGAUUGAAGAUGCAGUGGGGGUGCUCCAUUGUUGACCAUCCUUUCUCCGUUCCACAGCUUCUUCCUAUUGAUCUUAUGGGUGUAUCGAGGCUUCUGUCAAUUGUCAUUUGUUUUUGGGGUGUUGGCAUGUUAUCCCACAUAAACUGUUGUUGUUGUUGUUGGUUUUUUUUUGGGUUUUUCUAAAUGUACUCAGCAAACUUCUAAAUAUACCCAGCAAUUUAUUUGUAUUUAAAAUAUUUAAUUAGACCCAACAAAUAUUUCCAAAAUACCCACCCAAACAAACAUGUACCCAGCAAACUGAAUAAACAUAUAAACAAAUCGAAAUAGGGAGGAUAGAUGGGAUUACGGCCGUUAUGAAAAAAGGAGGAGUAUGAACUCGUUAUGAUAAGAUGAUAUCCAUAUCUAACAAUUGCAGCAGUCAAUAGACUUCCUUGUAGUUCUGGCUGAGGGUAUGGAGUUUUUUUCAGUUGGGGAGCUUGUAGUUCGGUAAGCAUAGAGGACUCUAGGUAGGUCAACGUGCAUGCCAGCGGCCUCUGCGCCUUUUUAGCCCCUUCUUCAUGCAAUCGAAGUAGUGCGAUUCAUCUUUUCUGCCUGCCUCUGUAAAUAACUCUGAGAAGAGAAAGGAAGCGUGAUCUUUGUGCUUGUUUGCAAGUUUCUGAAGCUACGAUGGUUGAAUUGGGUCAUUCCAUAUGCUUCUACUCUUCGCUCAAAUACACACACAAUUAAAUGAGCCUCACAUCACCAUUACAACAAAACCAUUGUCUAAUUUGUCUUGUGAGAAGCGUGAUGCUGGUGAAGAAUUUUGUGCUGGGAAAACUAUGAAGAUGGGGGUACUUUGGGAAACUUGUUGGGUUUAAUUAGAUGUUUAAAAAUAAUAUUUAAAUAUAAAUAAUUUGCUGGGUGUACUAAGUGUUUUGCUGGGUACAUUUAGAAACACCUUUUUUUUUUUUUUUUUU